GUAAUAGGUAUACGAUGUUGGAGAAGCAGUUGAAAUUUCUCACACAUUUCCGUCCCACAGCCUAUCGCAAAAGCAGUUGAAAUUUCUCAGCGGUCCUUUCGAGCAGUACGAUGGUGGAGAAGCAGCUGAUCGUGGCCGUUGAAGGAACUACCGCCAUGAGGCCCUACUGGGCAACCAUCGUCUCCGAUUACCUUGAUAAGAUCAUCAGGAGUUUCUGUGGCAAGGAGUCAAGUGGCCAAAAGCUCUGUACUUCUACUUUUGAGCUCUCUCUGGUCACAUUCAAAACUCAUGGAUCUUAUUGUGGUUACCUGGUAGGACGGAGUGGCUGGACAAGAGAUGUGGAUCUCUUCUUGCAUUGGCUUUCGGCUAUACCCUUUUCUGGGGGUGGUUUUGGUGAUGCUGCAAUUGCAGAAGGGCUUUCGGAGGCUAUAAUGAUGUUCAGUACAGCUCAAAAUGGAAGCCAAAAUCAACAAAACGUGGAUUGCCAGAAGCAUUGUGUUCUUAUUGCUGCGAGUAACCCUCACGCUCUGCCCACACCAGUGUAUCGCCCACAAAUGCAAAAUUUGGAGCAAAAUGAAAAUAUUGAUGCACAAACAGAAAAUCAUCUUUGUGAUGCUGAGGCUGUUGCUAAAUCAUUUCCACAGUGCUCAGUUUCGCUGUCAGUCAUUUGUCCAAAACAGCUACCUAAGCUUAGAGCAAUAUACAAUGCGGGAAAGCGCAACGCUGGAGCGGCAGAUCCACCAAUUGGUGAUGCGAAAGAACCCCACUUUCUUGUUUUAAUCUCAGAGAAUUUUAUGGAGGCCUGUGCUACGUUAAGUCGUCCGGGAAUUACAACUUUGCCCUCAAAUCAGAGUCCUGUAAAAAUGGAAAUAGCUCCUGUCGCUUCAGUUACAGUGCCGCCUCCAACUUCUAUGCCCUCUGUGAAUGGAUCUGUUAUGAAUCGGCAACCAAUAUUGGUUGGAAAUGUACCUCCUGCUACUGUAAAAGUUGAGCCAAGUACCCUAAGUUCCAUGGGACCUGGUUUUGCACACAUUCCAUGUGUACAUCCUCCUUCCCAAGCAGUCCCGAGCUUGCAGACCUCUACGCCAUUUUCUGCUUCUCAAGGGAUGACCACAAUUAAUGAUAGUAUACCAGAUUUCAAACCUUUAGUGAGCAGUAUGACACAUCCCUCGCGUCCUGUUGGUUGCAUCCUCAAUAACAUCUCUCAAGCACACUUUAUGAACGCAGCAGCCUUAACUGGAGGAACUUUUAUGGGACUCCAAACUAUGGUUCAAAAUCCUAUGGCAAUGCAUGUAUCAAACAUGAUGAGUGCCCUUGGUUCAUCUGGUGCCUCUUCUGGAACCGGUACAAUGAUUCCUACUCUAGGAAUGGCUCACAAGGUGCAGUCUGGGAUGCAGUCACUUGGUGCAAACAAUAGUUCAGCAGCAUCUGUGCCGUUCUCACAACAGACAACAAGUGCUCUUGCAUCUGCACAAUCCAACUAUGUGAAAGUCUGGGAGGGAAAUUUAGCUGGACUGAGAUAUGGGCAGCCUACGUUUAUCACUAUAUUGGAGGGUUUCGGGUGUGCUUCAGCUUCUGGGACGCUUGCAGCAAACUGGCCACCAACAAUGCUAAUAGUGAGACUCAUAUCUGAGGACCACAUGCAUAACAAGCAAUAUGUUGGAAAGGCAGACUUUUUAGUUUUCCGGGCAAAGAAUCAGCAUGCGUUUCUUGGGAAAUUGCAAGAAAUGAAACUUUGUGCAGUGAUCCAAUUGCCCUCUCAGACAUUACUCCUCUCCGUUUCAGACAGAGCAUACAGAUUGAAUGGAAUGCUGUUUCCAGGGGAUAUGAUAUUGUUUAAACCACAAGUAGGCGGUCAAGAACAACAGCAGCAAAUGCAACAAAUGCAACAAAUUCAAGUAGGCGGUGAACAACACCGCCACAUGCAAGUACCCAGUCAGCAACAACAGCAACAAAUGCAAGUACCCAGUCAGCAGCAACAGCAUCCUCAGAGUCAACAACAACAUCCACAGAUUCAACGGCAGUACCCUCAGAUUCAACAGCAGCAGCUCUCACAACUUCAAUCACAACAACUCACGCAACUUCAGCAAUCGCACCAACAGCACCAGCAACAACAGUUGGUUGGGAUGGGGAUGGCCGAACUUAUGUUCAAGGCUGAUCGCAAUUAGUUCCACAGGGACAAAAGUUCCGUCACAAGGUCCUAAUAUGCCUGGAGGGGGUUUUAUGGGUUAAAUGAGAGCCUCAACUCGUUAGAAACACUCCUGGACUAGCAUAUAAAUAACUUUUACUAUCAACCAGUGAUCCCCUAACGAUCGGAAUUUUAGUUAAUCAGGUUCUUCACGCCGAUGUUGUACGUCGGAUUAUUAGUAACCCGGCUGAUUUCGAAGGGAAUAUGCCUGAAAACGAUCCUAACCAACGCGCAGAGGAGUCUUUGCAACUUCCGUCAUAAACUCUCCUCGUUCAUUUGCUCUAUUAGGAGGCAUUAUUUUAAUCGGUUUUACAAAAUUCUACAAAAAUCAUCGUAAAAUCUUGCCUAGCAGUCGGAUCACUUUUGGCUUUUGGGCAUGCAAAUUGCGAAGUGACUGGGGACACUCGAAAGCAAGAAAGAAGACGACUCCCACGCCAACAACUCCCAUACAUGAAUGAUGAAGAGCAUUCCUUCCCUUCCCUUGGCCUUUAAUCAUUACUAUUCCCUCUUUGUAAAGCAAAUGUUAUUUAAGUAUUUAAGUAUUAAGUGGGUUUUUUAUCAAAAAGGUCUUAGAGAUUGACAAAAUUCA